UACGAAGGGGGCUAGCGUUGCUCGGAAUCACUGGGCGUAAAGGGUGCGUAGGCGGGUCUUUAAGUCAGGGGUGAAAUCCUGGAGCUCAACUCCAGAACUGCCUUUGAUACUGAAGAUCUUGAGUUCGGGAGAGGUGAGUGGAACUGCGAGUGUAGAGGUGAAAUUCGUAGAUAUCGGGAGGAACACCAGUGGCGAAGGCGGCGAUCUGGGUAGAUACUGACGCUGAGGUGCGAAAGCGUGGGGAGCAAACAGG
rnacentral:rRNA from 1 species